rnacentral:rRNA from 1 species
AGUGAACGUUGGCGGCGUGGAUUAGGCAUGCAAGUCGAGCGAGAACCGUAGCAAUACGGGGACAGCGGCGAAAGGGACAGUAACGUGUAGGUACCUACCCCGAGGUCUGGGAUAGCUGCGGGAAACUGCAGGUAAUACCGGAUAAUGUCUUCGGACCAAAGGUGUGAUUCCACCUUGGGAGGGGCCUGCAUCCUAUUAGCUUGUUGGCGGGGUAACGGCCCACCAAGGCGACGAUGGGUAGCGGGUGUGAGAGCACGACCCGCGUCAUUGGGACUGAGACACUGCCCAGACACCUACGGGUGGCUGCAGUCGAGGAUCUUCGGCAAUGGGCGCAAGCUUGACCGAGCGACGCCGCGUGCGGGAUGAAGGCCUUCGGGUUGUAAACCGCUGUCGUAGAGGAGGAAAUGCAGGGGGUUCUCCCUUCUGUUUGACCUAUUCUAGGAGGAAGGACGGGCUAAGUUCGUGCCAGCCGCCGCCGUAA